UCAGGCUUUGGCAUAGUUGGGACUUUUAGCUUUGGAAGCUCGGGAACUUUUGGCUUUGGUAGUUCUGGAAUUUCAGGCUUUGGCAUAGUUGGUACUUCUAGCUUUGGAAGUUCAGGGACUUUUGGCUUUGGUAGUUCUGGAAUUUCAGGUUUUGGCAUAGUUGGGACUUUUAGGUUUGGAAGCUCGGGGACUUUUGGCUUUGGUAGUUCUGGGAUUUCAGGCUUUGGCAUAGCUGGAGGAAGCUCAGUCUUUGGCGCUGCUGGGAUUUCUGGCUUUUUCAAGGGAGGAAACUCGGGUUUUGGUAUUGUUGGAAUCUCAGGCUUCGGCACAGUAGGAAUCUCGGGUUUUGGUAUAGCUGGGAUCUCAGGCUUUGGCAAAGUUGGUAAUUCAGGCUUUUGUAUAGUUGGAAUCUCUGCUUUUUUCAUAGUUGGAUGCUCAGUCUUUGGCAUUGCUGGAACUUCUGGCUUUUUCAAGGAAGGAAACUCGAGUUUUGGCAUUGUUGGAAUCUCAGGCUUUGGCAUAGAAGGAAGCUCGGGUUUCGGCACAACUGGAAUCUCAGGCUUCUGCAAAGUCGGUAAUUCAGGCUUUGGCAUAGCUGGCAUCUUAGGCUUUGGCAAAGUUGGUAACUCAGGCUUCGGGACAGUUGGUAGCUCGGGCUUUGGAACAGCGGGGAUCUCAGGCUUUGGUAUGGUUGGAAGCUCAGGCUUCGGCAGAGUUGGGAUUUCAAGCUUUGGUAAGGCUGGAACUUUCGGUAGUUCUGGUUUAGUUAUCUCAGGGACGGGUGUCUCUAAGAGGUGGCGUGCAGCCGCACCAGUUAUGUUGCCAUGAAUGAAGAAUAAAUUAAGAAAUGCAAGUAGUAAGAGGGAGGAUACGUGGUAAUGCUGACCCAUUUUUACGCAGAUUGUAGAAGCGAAAAGAAGAAUAAUGUGUACGACUCAAUGUGAUUGGGAUGUGACAUUGCUUUAAGUCUGUUGCUUUAUAUUGUUUUCAAGAAUGCAAUUACAAGGACUUUCAGGAUUCUGUUUGUUAGCCACGGACCUGAGUAGUUGAAUUUCUCAUCAAACUAAUUAGCUUCCAGCCUGGUACUUCAAAAGUCAAUUUAGAUGACCUAAAUUACUUAAAAUAGUCUAAACCUGUCACUUGCAUAUAGGUUAUGCUGAUAACCUGAUAAAAAUUCUUAGCUUAGCUGAUUUCAUUUCUUUGAAAAGUGAAGAAGUAUUCACUUUUUACCGCAAAUCUUCAUUCUGGUGUGGUGUGUACAUAAUAACUCAACGAUAUCGACAAAAACUACAAAAUAGAAAGGUUAUUACUUUAGAGUUUCUUUUGAGCUUUAGGAUUAAUAAAAACAAAUGACACCACUUCCCAAAGAUUGCCUGUAAUUGGUUCGCUGGCAAAAGCACCUAACUUCGCCAAUAAACUUCGACAGUUACUCAGUACUGCAAUCUUUCAUUUUAAAUUUUUGGGUUUUACUGCUUGAACACAUCAACUUUUGUGUAUGAAAGGGACAAUAAAUAACUAUAAACGCUACUUGGAUUCAAUUAUUUCACCACUUGUAAAAUCCUAAUUUUGAAAACUACCCGGUCCAAUUACUUGAGACUUGGCGUAUUGCUUUCUCGGUGAUGAAGUUGAUUAAGAUUGACUUGUAAAAUCAGAUGAAUAAUGAUCUUUUAAGUGGUUGAUGGGGUUUUCACCGUAAGACACUAUUUUUAAUGCUGUCAUGAUUACAUUUUAAAAAUGAAAACUCGUUAAAGCAAAUUAUAGUAAUAAACUAAUAUUUUUAAUAUGAUGUCGCUACAAUAUUUAUUCUUUGUUUUCUCCUUUAAAUAUGUACGCUGCCUACAAAAAAUGUUGCUUACGCCACGGAUUCAUAUAGCUUUGGAACGUUGGAAAUAGAUAAUACUUCAGGUAUUGGUAUAAUAUAGGAUUUCAGGCUUUGGUAAGGCUGGAAUAUUUGGGGAUUCUGGUGUAGGGAUCUCAGGGAAUGGCGUCUCCAGAAGGUGGCUCGUGUAGUUGCACCAGCUAACUGAUCAUACAUGAAGCAUAAAUUGUUUUUAUCAUUCUUUUGGAGAAGGUGAAACAGAGGUAAUUGAAUCCAUUUAAUGUGCAUUAAUUAGGAUGAAUGAAACAAAAAGCAAAUUAGUUUAAUCACCAGUUUGGUUCUACACUAAUAAUGUGAGUCCACUCCAUUUUGUGGCACUUAAAUAUACUAAUUCAUCCUUUAUUCCAUAAUCUUGAAAUGUAAUGGAGAAAUUGGUUACUAUAAAUUAGGAAGGAAAAAUAGUGAGGGAAAGAAUGGACAAACAACGAUCGAGCAAAAGCAGAGAUGGCAAAUGAUAGGAAAUAAACCAAAGUAACAUAUAUCAAAGUUUUAUUACACUGUAUAUAUAGAAAAAAUACAUAAAACAUUCAUAUAGUAUAAUAACACGACAAACUCAGUACAUCCAAUUCAAAUACUUCUAUAAAAGAAUUACAAUUUCAACUCGUAGCAGAAAGUAUCCAAUACUAUCUCCAUGUCACAGCUCAGGUGGCAAACUUCAUAGACUGAGAUGGAAAUCGUAAAAUAUCAGCUGGGUACUUUCUAAUUGAGUGAAAGUAGCAUAUAAUUUACUCAAGGAGUAGCGGGUUUGUAUGGUGGAGAAAGUGAAGGAAGAGUUGGUUUAGGUAGUUCUGGAAUUUCAGGCUUUGGUAGUUCUGGGAUUUCAGGCUUUGGCAUCUUUGGUACUUCUGGCUUUGGAAGUUCUGGUAGUUUUGGCUUUGGUAGUUCUGGGAUUUCUGGCUUUGGCAUUGUUGGGACUUUUAGCUUUGGAAGCUCUGGGACUUUCGGCUUUGGUAGUUCUGGGAUUUCAGUCUUGGGCAUAGCUGGUGCUUCAGGCUUUGGCAUUGUUGGGACUUUUAGCUUUGGAAGCUCUGGGGCUUUUGGCUUUGGUAAUUCUGGGAUUUCAGGCUUUGGCAUAGUUGGUACUUUUGGCUUUGGAAGUUCUGGGAUUUCUGGCUUUGGCAUAGUUGGUACUUCAGGCUUUGGAAUUGUUGGGACUUUUAUCUUUGGAAGCUCUGGGGCUUUUGGCUUUGGUAAUUCUGGGAUUUCAGGCUUUGGCAUAGUUGGUACUUUUGGCUUUGGAAGUUCUGGGAUUUCUGGCUUUGGCAUAGUUGGUACUUCAGGCUUUGGAAUUGUUGGGACUUUUAUCUUUGGAAGCUCUGGGGCUUUUGGCUUUGGUAAUUCUGGGAUUUCAGGCUUUGGCAUAGUUGGUACUUCUGGCUUUGGAAGUUCUGGGACCUUUGGCUUUGGUAGUUCUGGGAUUUCUGGCUUUGGCACAUUCGGUAGCUCGGGCUUUGGUAAAGUUGGAACUUCAGGCUUUUUCAUAGUGGGAGGAACCUCAGUCUUUGGCACUGCUGGAAUUUCUGACUUUUUCAAGGGAGGAAACUCUAGUUUUGGCAUUGCUGGAAUCUCAGGCAUCUUUGGCUUUGGCAAAGUUGGUAACUGGGGCUUCGGGAAAGUUGGUAGCUCAGGCUUUGGAACAUUAGGG
rnacentral:lncRNA from 1 species